GAUAAACGCUGGCGGCGUGCAUGAGACAUGCAAGUCGAACGAAGGAUCGGGCUUGCUCGAUCCUUAGUGGCGGACGGCUGAGUAACGCGUAGGUGACCUACCCAGAAGUGGGGUAUAACUGCCCGAAAGGGCGGCUACUUCCGCAUGUGGUGGCACGUUCAUUCGUGUGAGUACAGCCGCAAGGCGCUUCGGGCGGGGCCUGCGUCCGCUUAGCUCGUUGGUAUGGUAAUGGCUUACCAAGGCGACGGUGGGUAGGUGGUCUGGGAGGCCGAGCACCCAGACUGGGACGAGGACGCGGCCGAGACUCCUACGGGAGGGAGCAGUCGGGAAUUUUGCUCAAUGGCGGAAACCCUGAAGCAGCAACGCCGCGUGAGGGAUUAAGUCCUUCGGGUAGUAAACCUCUUUUGUCAGGGACGAUGAUGACGGUACCUAGCGAAUAAGCCACGGCUAACUACGUG
rnacentral:rRNA from 1 species